UACAGAGGUCUCAAGCGUUGUUCGGAUUCAUUGGGCGUAAAGGGUGCGUAGGCGGCGCGGUAAGUCGGGUGUGAAAUCUCGGGGCUUAACUCCGAAACUGCAUUCGAUACUGCCGUGCUUGAGGACUGGAGAGGAGACUGGAAUUUACGGUGUAGCGGUGAAAUGCGUAGAUAUCGUAAAGAAGACCAGUGGCGAAGGCGGGUCUCUGGACAGUUCCUGACGCUGAGGCACGAAGGUCAGGGGAGCAAACGGG
rnacentral:rRNA from 1 species